UGAGGUACUUUACUUCCGUGGUGUUGGGU
rnacentral:piRNA from 1 species